rnacentral:tRNA from 1 species
ACCUUCAUGGUGUAAUGGUAGCACACUCGGUGUGUAUUGGAGAGGUCCAGGUUCGAAUCCCGGCGGGGGCA